rnacentral:rRNA from 1 species
GAUGAACGCUGGCGGCGUGCCUAAUACAUGCAAGUCGAGCGAAGCGAGGACGGUUGAGUAACACGUGGUCAACCUCCUAUACGACUGGGUUAACUUCGGGUAACCCGAGCUAACCCGGAUCCUUAUAGAUGGUUUCUCGCUGCACUAUCUAGUUGGUAAGGUAACGGCUUACAAAGGCAACGAUGCAUAGCCGACCCGAGAGGGGGAUCGGCCAAACUGGAACUGAGACACGGUCCAGACUCCUACGGGAGGCAGCAGUAGGGAAUCUUCCGCAAUGGGCGAAAGCCUGACUGAGCAACGCCGCGUGAGUGAUGAAGGUCUUCGGAUCGUAAAACUCUGUUAUUAGGGAAGCGGUACCUAAUCAGAAAGCCACGGCUAACUUCGUGCCAGCCGCCGCGGUAAUAC